rnacentral:rRNA from 1 species
AGUUAACGCUGGCGGCGUGCCUAACACAUGCAAGUCGAGCGAGCUUGUAGCAAUACAAGUUAGCAGCAAACGGGUGAGUAACACAUGGGAAACCUCCCUCAGAAUGGGGAACAUCUCCGAGAAAUCGGAGCUAAUACCGCAUAAGACCACAGUCUGGCAUCAGACAGGGUAAAAGCAGCAAUGCGUUUUGAGAUGGUCCUGUGUCCUAUCAGCUAGUUGGUGAGGUAACGGCUCACCAAGGCUAAGACGGGUAUCCGGCCUGAAAGGGUGAACGGACACACUGGAACUGAGACACGGUCCAGACUCCUACGGGAGGCAGCAGUGGGGAAUUUUGGACAAUGGGGAAACCCGUGAUCCAGCGACGCCGCGUGAAGGA